CUCUGUGUCAUGGAGACUCACUCAAGCUUUCUUCUUCAUCGUACUUUCUUGUCCUUGUCAUCAUCCUUCACACUCAGAUGGAUACAGUGACCCGGGUUGACUCACUCAUACCUGCAGGAAUUAGCUGGUUUCCCAAGACUAGAUAGUUUGGAGGCACAGUGGUCAAGGGGAGAAAAGGGACUAAAUAUCGAGAGCCCCGUUGGAGUAUGGAGACCUUAACGUGGACCUGUUGCAACCACAUGAUCCAGAAUGUCCAUUGGGGGACAGGUAGGGGGGGACAGCUAUAAAGGAGUUUACAUUGAGCUGCAGAGGAAGAGUGCCCCUGCACAUUCAAGUAACAUUGCUGCCCUCUGGUGGUCAGCAUUAAACGGAGUGACUCUAGCAGUAAAGCAGAUUUAAAAGCUGAAGAAAUUCACAGAAACAGGCCUAACAUGGAUGGAAACAAAGAUGAAUAUCCUCACUGUGAAGAGGCUCCAAAGACGACGUUCCUGGGAUGGAAAAGAGCAGAAGUCUAAGAAAUGUCAUGUAUUUAACACGUGGAUGGAAGA